rnacentral:piRNA from 1 species
UCCAGCAAGUGCCAAUGGUUGAGAUUG